AUUGAACGCUGGCGGCGUGCUUAACACAUGCAAGUCGAGCGGCAGCGCGGGAGCAAUCCUGGCGGCGAGCGGCGAACGGGUGAGUAAUGCUUCGGAAUCUGCCCAGUAGUGGGGAAUAACCAGUCGAAAGACUGGCUAAUACCGCAUACGACCUAAGGGUGAAAGCAGGGGAUCGCAAGACCUUGCGCUAUCGGAUGAGCCGAAGUCGGAUUAGCUAGUUGGUGAGGUAACGGCUCACCAAGGCGACGAUCCGUAGCUGGUCUGAGAGGACGACCAGCCACACUGGGACUGAGACACGGCCCAGACUCCUACGGGAGGCAGCAGUGGGGAAUAUUGGACAAUGGGGGCAACCCUGAUCCAGCGACGCCGCGUGUGUGAAGAAGGCCUGCGGGUUGUAAAGCACUUUUAGUGGGGAGGAAAACCCCUGACCUAAUACGUCAGGAAUUGACUUAACCCAAAGAAAAAGCACCGGCUAACUCUGUG
rnacentral:rRNA from 1 species